AUCCACAUGAGUAGUAAACAUUAAAAAAACAAAGAUAGUGAGUGCUAAGUUUAGUGCAUACCAUUGUAUAGUUUUGAAAAUUGACAAUUGUGGGACAUAAAAAAUGGAGAUACCAUGAAGGUGGGCAUGUUUUGAUGAAAAAGGGCACGUGAUAUUAACAAGUUGUCAUAAACAAUUGCACAAGUGGAGUGUGAGACAGCGCAUCUAAUCUCUAAUAUCUUGUUUUUGUGCUUAGGAUAUUUGUAAACCCUCCUUAACCUCAUCCCAACUAACAACAACUUGCUUCUUUUAUUAUAAUAUCAUUCCAUCUUCUUUUUUCUUAGUCUUCUCUUCUUUUCUCUCCUCUCGCACACAGAUUCACAUUAUUCAACUCUAUCAUCAUCAUGUAUCGUCCUCCUUCUUCUUCUGGUUCCACUUCUUCCUCCUCUUCUCAACAACAGCAGAGUUCCAUAAGUCAGACAGGUCUUACCAGAUACGGUUCUGCACCCGGCUCUCUCCUCACCAGCACCGUUGAUGCCGUUCUAGCAGGAUCACGCCUUCUCCCCGGGACUGGACAUUAUUUCUCCGGUGAUUCCAGCCACCAGCAGCAGCAACAACAGCAACAACAGCAGCAGCAACAGCAACAACAGCAGAGAUCUUCUUACGAAGGCUUUGACGGAUCAUCUCUGGUCCGUCAAAAAAGCUCUCCCGCCGGUUUCCUCAACCAUCUCGCCACUCUCAAUCACAAUAACAGCGCGGGGUUCACAAUCACGAGAGGCGGAAAUGGAGGAUCGAGAUUGAAGUCUGAAUUGAGCUUUACUGGAGGAGGACAAGGACAGGAAUGUCUUUCUAGAAUAUCUGAAAAUGGUGUUGAUUAUGCAGCAGUAGCUGCAGGAAAUGGAUCAUUGCAUAGUAGUAACUGGGGUGUAGGACCUGAUAAUAAUAAUAAUACUAAUAACAAUAACAAUUCAAAUUCUAUAGUAUUUUCUUCUGGUUCUCAAAAUCAAACUAAUAAUAAGCGUUCGAGUAGAAACGAGGACGAUCCCGACCUUCUUCUUCAUUGCCUCAAUGCCCUUGAAACUCAGUAUAGUCUUCCACAAACUUCUAUGGAAAUGGACAAGCUGAUGCAUAUUCCUCAAGAUUCCGUUCCUUGUAAAAUCCGCGCUAAGCGUGGCUGUGCCACGCAUCCCCGAAGCAUUGCAGAACGGGAGAGAAGAACUAGAAUAAGUGGAAAAUUGAAGAAAUUGCAGGAUCUUGUGCCUAAUAUGGAUAAGGUUGCUUAAUGUUGUUUCAAAAUGUCACUGUAGCAAACAAGUUAUUCAGACAUGCUAGAUUUGGCAGUUCAACAUAUCAAAGGUCUUCAAACUCAAGUCCAGAAACUUCACGAAGAUCUUGAGAGUUGCACUUGCGGAUGCAAACAAAGUACAUAAACUUACUACUAUGUUUUAUGAGAUUCUAUGGCACUGCAUAGAAGUCAAGGUUUUGAUGGAAACUGAUUUUUGUACCUUUCAAGUUUAAACGAAUAAUGAAGGAAAUUGUACAUACAGUGUAUGUUGUAAUCUACCUGUGGUAGGCAUAGUCUAGAAAUAUCUAUUCCUUUUUGAAAUUUGAUAGUUGUAUUUGAAAGUAGAAGUUGAUUUUCUGUUGAAA